rnacentral:lncRNA from 1 species
AACAAUGUAGAUGAAAAACAGAAAAACUCUGAUGAAUGUUCUGUUUCCUUGUAAUAAUCCGAUACACCAUGAACGUGAGAAACAGACGUUUCUUAAAGACGACUGACUAAAACAGUGGAGGUUUGAUAGCAAGGCCAUGAACAAAACAACUGCGAGUUGUUUUAUAGCGCACACCUUAACUAAUUAUCUUUUCAGAGAGCAGGGAAGCUUUGCCAAAUCUGUGUUAUUACCCCAGCAUCUUCAGUUCAUGAAUACGUACCCAGUCGUCUCAACUUGCAGCGAAGUCACAGACCACGAGUCUAACAACGGCUACAUUUGGCACUUUGUGACCUGCUAAAUUGCGAAAUAAUCCAUCACUGCCUUGAGUAUUUAAUAACAUAUAUAUACAGCAGGAUGGUCGAUGGUUCAGCUCAGAUUAAAAUUAUUUACUUACCCUCUGCAUAAUGGUUGAUUGUCUUGUUCUAUAAGCAGGGAAACUUGGGGUCCAAGUUCCAGGCUUCCAACCCAUCGGUGGUUUCUUGGCAUGCAGGGAAACUUGUGUUCCAAGUUCUAGGCUUCCAACCAAUCGGUGGUUUUCUGAACUUAAUAUCUCAUUGGCAUGCUGCACUGAUGUAGUGUCAUAUGUCAACAAGCUUUAAUUAAAAAAGUGUCUGUGGAUGGAAGUUUCAGGGACACUACAUCCAAAUUCAGUAUUAAUUUAUCCAUGUGGUAUACCAUCAGAAUGGGACUUCUCAGCUAUAUAACAUCAUUGAACGCUGGAGCACCUCCUACUUCUGUGCAUCCAUUUGUUCAAGACGUACGAGCUUGUUAAGUUCUACCUUUAUUUGUUGUAGAAUAAGUAACAGAGAAAUGGAACCGCAGGAAGGAAGGAAAGGAAUACCAUCUCUGCUGUCCUCACAGGGGGAGUGCAUCGCCACCAACAUCACGCAGGUGCCUACUUUCUUUGUAUAUAGUCACUAUUCCUUUACUGUAAAAAGCUUGUUAUCUUUAAUUUGCAAGUUUAUU